GCCUGCUGAGUUCUGCCAGCAUUUUGUGUUUUUAUUUAUUUCCAGCAUCUGCAGAUUCACUCGUGUACAUUAAGGCGAGAAAGUUAAACACAUAUUAUGUCUAUAAAACCAAAUUAGUGACAUGCAGUAUUUUGGAUCCCAACUCAAUCCCAGACUGGAGGAUUGAUCAAACAUCAUCACUCUGAUUGUCAUUGUAAUUAUCAAUUUAAAGCAAAAUUCUACAGGUGUGAACUAAGUAUUUGCUAUCAGCACAUACCAGUAGAAUUCCAAUAUUGUGUACAUGAAAACAAGCGGCUUCAUGUAACUAUUCUACCUGAGAGAGGUAGUGAGAUUAUUUAUUAUUGAUGGUAAUCCUUCUAUUUUUCAAAUAAAUAGAACCCCUUGAGUAAAAUAGAAGCCUGAUGGAAAAUUUGAGUACUUUCUUCUCAUCUGAAAUGCAUUGUAUCCUGGCCAGCACACUACAGGAGACUAUGACACUCUCAGUGAGGGUAUAGAAUAGUGUCAAGAAUUUGGGACCUUGUGUUAGACUGGAAAAGCAGGGACUUCAACUUGUGGCCAUGCAGUCCUUAGAGAUUGAAUGAGGUGUGGGAGAUCAUGGUGGAGAGGUUGUUCCCAUUCCCUUCCACAAAAUUUCUCUCAAAAUGUUGACAUACCAUAGAAAGUUUAUUGUAUACAGUUCUGGUCACCAAAUUAUAAGAAAGAUAUCAACAAAAUAGAGAGAGUACAAAGAAGAUUUACUAGAAUGUUACCUGGGUUUCAGCACCAAAGUUACAGGGAAAGGUUGAACAAGUUAGGUCUUUAUUCUUUGGAGCGUAGAAGGCUGAGGGCGGACUUGAUAGAGGUAUUUAAAAUAAUGAGGGGGAUAGAUUGAGUUGAUGUGGGUAGGCUUUUUCCAUUGAGAGUAGGGGAAAUUCAAACAAGAGGACAUGAUUUGAGAGUUAGGGGGCAAAAGUUUAAGGGUAACACGAGGGGGAAUUUCUUUACUCAAAGAGUGGUAGCUGAGUGGAAUGAGCUUCCAGUAGAAAUGGUUGAGGCAGGUAUUGUCAUUUAAAGUAAAAUUGGAUAGGUAUAUGGACAGGAAAGGAAUGGAGGGUUACGGGCUGAGUGCAGGUCAGUGGGACUAGGUGAGAGUAAGAGUUCGGCACGGACUAGAAGGGUUGAGAUGACCUGUUUCCAUGCUGUAAUUGUUAUAUGGUUAAAGUUCACAAUCCAGCUUUGUUAGAUUGGUAUCGUCAGACCUAGAUCAUUGAUCAGAGAUGGGAACUCAAAUCUCACCACAGCAUCACACCACUGGGUUUAAAUUCAUGCAACUAAAUACUGUAUUGAAACUAUCAGUAAACCAUUUGCUGCUGGACCAUGUGUAAAACCCAAUGUUUACUGAUAUCCCAAAGAAAAAUAGUGCUGGAAAUAUCAAUAAAAACAGAACAUUUUGGGAAGAUACAACUGAGCUGUCCCUCUCUCUGCGUAGAGUGAUAUGGCACAGACAGUGACCCUUUGUUCCAACAUGUCCACGAUGACCAUUGUGGUCCUCUGUACUAGCCCAUUUGCUCCCAUUUAGUUCCACUGCCUUGGUGACGUAGCCCACUCAUAACUGUGUGCCUGGGUACAACCCAAAUGCCAUUUGUAGAUUUGCCAAAGACGCCACUAUUGUUGGCAAACUUUCAAAUGGCGAUGAGGAGUUGUACAGGUGCUAGAGCUAGUUAGAUCAGAUGGUUGAGUGGUGUUGCAACAACUACAUUGUGCUCAACGAAAGCAAGACAAGGAAUUGAUUGUGGUCUUCAGGAAGGGGAAAUUCCUGGGUGUCAGCGUCUCAGAGGAUCUAUCCUGGGCUCAACCUAUUGAUGCAAUCACAAAUAGGACACACACACAGCUUCAGCGCCAUUAGAGGUUUGAGGAGGGUUGGCAUGUCAUCAAAGACUCAAGAAAAUUCCUGCAGGUGUACCGUGAGGAACAUUUUAGUUGGUUGCAUCUCCCUUGGGUAUGGCGACUCCCAUGCGUGAGAUUGAAAGAGGUAAGGUUGAAACAGGUUGAAAGAUUGAAACAGGUAACAUAAAUGCUGCCUGGCCUGCUGGAAUCCCCCAGCAUUUUGUACAUUACUCUGGAUUUCCAGCAUCUACUAUAUUUCCUGUGUUUACAACUCUCCAGGAGUUUUCUUGAGUUAUUUGCUCAGUUUUUGCUGUUGGCACGGUUUGUCCUUCUGUUUGUGGGUUGUGAGUUUGAUGGUCAUUGUCGUGUGGGGUUUUUCUUUAAACAGGUUUUAUCGUGUUUUAUUGUUUUGUAGCUGCCAGUAGGAAGAUGAAACUCAGGGUUGUAUACUGUAUAAUAAAUGUACUUUGACCUUUGAGUCAGGUAACCAAUGUUUUAUAAAGUUGUAUAAACAUGGUGACCCCGCAAUUAAGUUAUAUUGCCCUUGCUAGUGAAGGCAUAUCUCCAAAGUGCCUUCUUCACCACCCUGACCACCUGUGCUGCCACUUUCAGAGACUCUUCGUCCGGACUUGUA